AGCAAUGACGUCAUCUAAUAUGCGCAUGCGCACACCAUGCGCCCGCCAUUUUAAGGUCAGAAGCGCGUGCUUCACUUUCACUGCAGACAGAAGAGGGAGCGGGUUGAUCGAAGUUGCCUGGGUUUGGGCUGACCCUGAGACAAAGACAUGUUUGGGGGCCAUGCACGCCAAGAGUCAACACCCACAACCAUGGCCUGGGCACAUAGUGGUGCAGAGCCCUCCAGUCACCAGGCUGGAGCUGUCAAUGGGACAGCAACUGUGAUGGUAAACCAGAACUAUUCCCAGUGUGAAAGGUCCCGAUGGGAGGAAAAACACUGGAGCCAAAAAAAAAAAAAA